GUGUCAGCAGCCGCGGUAAUACGUAGGUUGCAAGCGUUAUCCGGAUUUACUGGGCGUAAAGAGUGCGUAGGCGGUUCUUCAAGUCGGAUGUGAAAUCUCCCGGCUUAACCGGGAGGGGUCAUUCGAAACUGUUGGACUAGAGGACAGCAGGGGGAGGUGGAAUUCCCGGUGUAGUGGUGAAAUGCGUAGAUAUCGGGAGGAACACCAGUGGCGAAGGCGGCCUCCUGGGCUGUUUCUGACGCUGAGGCUCGAAAGUGUGGGGAGCGAACAGGAUUAGAGACCCUGGUAGUCCACACUGUAAACAAUGGUCACUAGGUAGGGGGGGUAUCGACCCUUUCUGUGCCGAAGCUAACGCUUUAAGUGUCCCGCCUGGGGACUACGGCCGCAAGGCUAAAACUCAAAGGAAUUGACGGGG
rnacentral:rRNA from 1 species